UGGGGAAUAUUGGACAAUGGGCGAAAGCCUGAUCCAGCCAUGCCGCGUGUGUGAAGAAGGCCUUAUGGUUGUAAAGCACUUUAAGCGAGGAGGAGGGUACUGGUAUUAAUACUACCAGGUACUGGACGUUACUCGCAGAAUAAGCACCGGCUAACUCUGUGCCAGCAGCCGCGGUAAUACAGAGGGUGCGAGCGUUAAUCGGAUUUACUGGGCGUAAAGCGUGCGUAGGCGGCUAAUUGAGUCGGAUGUGAAAUCCCCGAGCUUAACUUGGGAAUUGCAUUCGAUACUGGUUAGCUAGAGUGUGGGAGAGGAUGGUAGAAUUCCAGGUGUAGCGGUGAAAUGCGUAGAGAUCUGGAGGAAUACCGAUGGCGAAGGCAGCCAUCUGGCCUAACACUGACGCUGAGGUGCGAAAGCAUGGGGAGCAAACAGG
rnacentral:rRNA from 1 species